rnacentral:lncRNA from 1 species
UUCCAAAGUGAAAGCAGUACUUUCAUUUUGUGCAUACUUCCAAAAAAAAAAUAAGAAGAACAAGAAUCCUGCUCCAGUUUGUGUAAAACUUGCUUUUAGUGCCUGAGCCAGACCAUGUCAUUACCAUAGAUGUGUACAGUUCUCAGAUACUACGAUAUUUCCAUACCACUGUGGACAACUUACAUGCAAAAGCCUGCAGUGAAUGCAAGAGAAUAUUUCAGACUGAAGGGCUGUAUCAUUGUUUCACUUGAAGCAGAAGCAGCCAAAAGGGCUGCAUCAAUCAUGACAGACUGAAUGUGGAGUUUCCCUUGCUUUACCAAGAGAGAUGGAGGUCCAGAGGAUUGACUAGGACAUUUCUGGUUGGGAAUGUUAAAUGUGUGGCCAUCCCUGUGGACGACAUGACUGAUGCAUAAGGCACAAUAUGCCACAAAGUAGACAAACCUACUCUGCUGAAGCCACUAAAGUAUAUGACACGUUUACUCAUGGAAUCUUAUUUGAGCUAGCUAUUUCCAGAUAAAAUACUUCUACUUUCGAAGCUGUUUACAAACUUCAUUUCCUCAAGAAGACAAAAUAAAACACUCCUCUAAAACUCACAUUAUUAAUAUUCCAGUGAUUUGGCUGCACACAAGAGCAGUUUUGUCACUUAAUUGUUUAACCAUAUCCCUCCAUAA